GGUGUGGUGGCCAAGUGGUAAGAUGCUGGUCUUGUAAACCAAAGGUCAUGGGUUCGACUCCCACCCACGCCU